rnacentral:rRNA from 1 species
AGUGAACGCCGGCGGUAGGCCUAACACAUGCAAGUCGAACGGCAGCACAGUAAGAGCUUGCUCUUACGGGUGGCGAGUGGCGGACGGGUGAGGAAUACAUCGGAAUCUACUUUUUCGUGGGGGAUAACGUAGGGAAACUUACGCUAAUACCGCAUACGACCUACGGGUGAAAGCAGGGGAUCUUCGGACCUUGCGCGAUUGAAUGAGCCGAUGUCGGAUUAGCUAGUUGGCGGGGUAAAGGCCCACCAAGGCGACGAUCCGUAGCUGGUCUGAGAGGAUGAGCAGCCACACUGGAACUGAGACACGGUCCAGACUCCUACGGUAGGCAGCAGUGGGGAAUAUUGGACAAUGGGCGCAAGCCUGAUCCAGCCAUACCGCGUGGGUGAAGAAGGCCUUCGGGUUGUAAAGCCCUUUUGUUGGGAAAGAAAAGCAGCAGGUUAAUACCCCGCUGUUCUGACGGUACCCAAAGAAUAAGCGCCGGCUAACUUCGUG